ensembl:miRNA MIR522 microRNA 522
UCUCAGGCUGUGACCCUCUAGAGGGGAGCACUUUCUGUUGUCUGAAAGAAAAGAAAAUGGUUCCCUUUAGAGUGUUAGGCUUUGAGA